rnacentral:rRNA from 1 species
AUUGAACGCUGGCGGCAGGCCUAACACAUGCAAGUGCGCGGAUGAAGGGAGCUUGCUCCUGGAUUCAGCGGCGGACGGGUGAGUAAUGCCUAGGAAUCUGCCUGGUAGUGGGGGAUAACGUCCGGAAACGGGCGCUAAUACCGCAUACGUCCUGAGGGAGAAAGUGGGGGAUCUUCGGACCUCACGCUAUCAGAUGAGCCUAGGUCGGAUUAGCUAGUUGGUGGGGUAAAGGCCUACCAAGGCGACGAUCCGUAACUGGUCUGAGAGGAUGAUCAGUCACACUGGAACUGAGACACGGUCCAGACUCCUACGGGAGGCAGCAGUGGGGAAUAUUGGACAAUGGGCGAAAGCCUGAUCCAGCCAUGCCGCGUGUGUGAAGAAGGUCUUCGGAUUGUAAAGCACUUUAAGUUGGGAGGAAGGGCAGUAAGUUAAUACCUUGCUGUUUUGACGUUACCAACAGAAUAAGCACCGGCUAACUUCGUG